GGGGGCGUACAUGGUUUCGACGGGGAUCAUGGAGGCCGGAUAAGCGAGCCGAAGACCCGUGCUUCGAUAAAAACGGGAAACUUAAAUUUAACUGGCAAAUCUGAUUUUGCUCUCGCUGCCUAAUUAGGCGGCGCGUCCGCCCGGCGGUUCCCACGCCGCCGGACCCGGGCGUCAUCAAUGUGGGGAACCAGCCUGCCUAAGCUUUGCGGCAGGUGGGAUUUUAUGAAGCUACCGAAACCCAUACCCUGCCGGUAGGGGAUGGGCCGGGGGAAUCUGAAAUGAUCGGCUGCGCUCGGAGAAAGUCUUGCUGACAGGUUUUCGGACAGGGGUUCGACUCCCCUCGCCUCCACCA
rnacentral:tmRNA from 1 species